UACGUAGGAGGCGAGCGUUACCCGGAUUUAUUGGGCGUAAAGCGCGCGCAGGCGGCCUGGUGCGUCCCGCGUGAAAUCUCCCGGCUCAACCGGGAGGGGUCGCGGGAAACGAUCAGGCUGGAGCAAGGGAGGGGCCUGUGGAAUUCCCGGUGUAGUGGUGGAAUGCGUAGAGAUCGGGAGGAACACCAGUGGCGAAGGCGACAGGCUGGACCUUGGCUGACGCUCAGGCGCGAAAGCGUGGGGAGCGAUCCGG
rnacentral:rRNA from 2 species